CUGCCUGAUGGAGGGGGAUAACUACUGGAAACGGUAGCUAAUACCGCAUAACGUCGCAAGACCAAAGAGGGGGACCUUAGGGCCUCUUGCCAUCGGAUGUGCCCAGAUGGGAUUAGCUAGUAGGUGGGGUAACGGCUCACCUAGGCGACGAUCCCUAGCUGGUCUGAGAGGAUGACCAGCCACACUGGAACUGAGACACGGUCCAGACUCCUACGGGAGGCAGCAGUGGGGAAUAUUGCACAAUGGGCGCAAGCCUGAUGCAGCCAUGCCGCGUGUAUGAAGAGGGCCUUCGGGUUGUAAAGUACUUUCAGCGGGGAGGAAGGGAGUAAAGUUAAUACCUUUGCUCAUUGACGUUACCCGCAGAAGAAGCACCGGCUAACUCCGUGCCAGCAGCCGCGGUAAUACGGAGGGUGCAAGCGCUAAUCGGAAUUACUGGGCGUAAAGCGCACGCAGGCGGUUUGUUAAGUCAGAUGUGAAAUCCCCGGGCUCAACCUGGGAACUGCAUCUGAUACUGGCAAGCUUGAGUCUCGUAGAGGGGGGUAGAAUUCCAGGUGUAGCGGUGAAAUGCGUAGAGAUCUGGAGGAAUACCGGUGGCGAAGGCGGCCCCCUGGACGAAGACUGACGCUCAGGUGCGAAAGCGUGGGGAGCAAACAGGAUUAGAUACCCUGGUAGUCCACGCCGUAAACGAUGUCGACUUGGAGGUUGUGCCCUUGAGGCGUGGCUUCCGGAGCUAACGCGUUAAGUCGACCGCCUGGGGAGUACGGCCGCAAGGUUAAAACUCAAAGGAAUUGACGG
rnacentral:rRNA from 1 species